rnacentral:rRNA from 1 species
AAAGACCCCGUGAACCUUUACUAUAGCUUAACGUUGUAACCGGGCAGUCGAUGUGUAGGAUAGGCCGGAGACUUAGAAGCGGGCACGCCAGUGUUCGUGGAGUCGCUGUUGAAAUACGGCCCUUCGGCUGUCUGGUUCCUAACUCCCUUGAUGGGAGGACCGCGUUUGGUGGGUAGUUUGACUGGGGUGGUCGCCUCCAAAAGCGUAACGGAGGCUUCCAAAGGUGCCCUCGGGUCGAUUGGUAACCGACCUCAUAGAGUGUAAUGGCAUAAGGGCGCUUGACUGGGAGGCAGACAUGCCGAGCAGGCAGGAAACUGGGGCAUAGUGAUCCGGUGCAAGUGUAUGGAAACUGCAUCGCUCAAAGGAUAAAAGGUACUCCGGGGAUAA